rnacentral:rRNA from 1 species
GUAGGGAAUAUUGCGCAAUGGACGAAAGUCUGACGGAGCAACGCCGCGUGAGUGAUGAAGGUUUUCGGACUGUAAAGCUCUGUUGUUUAGGACGAAAGUGCCUGUUGCAAAUAGUUACAGGUAUUGACGGUACUGAACGAGGAAGCCACGGCUAACUACGUGCCAGCAGCCGCGGUAAUACGUAGGUGGCAAGCGUUGUCCGGAAUUAUUGGGCGUAAAGAGCAUGUAGGCGGGAAUCUAAGUCUGUUGUGAAAAUGCGGGGCUCAACCCCGUAUUGCGAUGGAAACUGGGUUUCUUGAGUGCAGGAGAGGAAAGGGGAAUUCCCAGUGUAGCGGUGAAAUGCGUAGAUAUUGGGAGGAACACCAGUGGCGAAGGCGCCUUUCUGGACUGUGUCUGACGCUGAGAUGCGAAAGCCAGGGUAGCGAACGGGAUUAGAAACCCGUGUAGUCC